rnacentral:lncRNA from 1 species
GACUCUGCUCUUUCCUUGGAAUCAUUUUGACACAAGUUCCUUAAAGAGCGUGAUGUCUACACGUGCUAGUUUGCACACACAAUACACUGGACCCAUGAUCUGGGUUAGUCAUCCGCGGUGACUUCGGAGUUCCAGGGCAGGGGGAGAGGAAAGAGUCUGAGAAACUUGGAAGUUCUUCCUGGCAUGACUGGAAGUGUAAGAUGUGACAUCCUGGCUCCAAUCCAGUGCAAAGGGGAAUUUGAAGAGCAACUCACAUAUUUGUAAUUUUCCAGCCUCAGGCACACAUUUCCUCUCCUGACCAUUUGGGUUCCUUCAGAUUUUACAGAGAGAUCUGUCAGUUCUCUGAAAGAGAUGCCAGUGCAGAUGACCACCGCAGGAAACUUGAGAGAGCAGAGAGACCUGGAGACAGUCUUUGAACAGAAAAAUGGCUUGUAGAUUCAGCAACAAACCAUCUUGACCGAUGAAAGUGGGUGAUUCUUACAAGAGCUGGGGGAUAAUUGGUUAAAAAUGAAUAAAAAGAUAAUUACCC